AUCUGGAUCAGUGGUAUCAAAUAAGUCUGACCCUUGUCAUACUUAUGCAUACUCAAGCUAGAUUAGUACUGGGAUGGGUGACCGCUUAGGAAUUCCUAGUGUUUUACAUG
rnacentral:rRNA from 1 species